UACGAAGGGGGGCUAGCGUUGCUCGGAAUGACUGGGCGUAAAGGGCGCGUAGGCGGAUUGUACAGUCAGGCGUGAAAUUCCCGGGCUCAACCUGGGGGCUGCGCUUGAGACGUGCGAUCUUAGUGGGGAAGAGGGUCGUGGGAAUUCCCAGUGUAGAGGUGAAAUUCGUAGAUAUUGGGAAGAACACCGGUGGCGAAGGGCGGCGACCUGGUCCUUGACUGACGCUGAGGCGCGAAAGCGUGGGGGAGCAAACAGGAUU
rnacentral:rRNA from 1 species